rnacentral:sRNA from 17 species
UGACCACUCCUUUCUUAGGAAGUCUAGGCCAUGCGGACAGCCGGGUCAAAUGCCGA